rnacentral:rRNA from 1 species
CCUACGGGAGGCAGCAGUGAGGAAUAUUGGUCAAUGGACGGAAGUCUGAACCAGCCAUGCCGCGUGCAGGAAGACGGCUCUAUGAGUUGUAAACUGCUUUUGUACAAGGGUAAACCUGAAUACGUGUAUUCAGCUGAAAGUAUUGUACGAAUAAGGAUCGGCUAACUCCGUGCCAGCAGCCGCGGUAAUACGGAGGAUCCAAGCGUUAUCCGGAUUUAUUGGGUUUAAAGGGUGCGUAGGCGGACGGAUAAGUUAGAGGUGAAAUGGCCGAGCUUAACUUGGGAACUGCCUCUAAUACUGUUGGUCUAGAGAGUAGAUGCGGUAGGCGGAAUGUAUGGUGUAGCGGUGAAAUGCUUAGAGAUCAUACAGAACACCGAUUGCGAAGGCAGCUUACCAAUCUAUAUCUGACGUUGAGGCACGAAAGCGUGGGGAGCAAACAGGAUUAGAUACCCUUGUAGUC